CAGUCAUAAACAGUUGGAGAGUUAGCCUGUGGCCUGUCAAAGUAGUCAGCCCCAACACUCCUUGUCGCAAGGUUGCUACCAGGAUGAAACACACUCCUCCACACGUUAUCUUUACGCGCCGCUGUAGGCGACGGAGUCAAAGGCGUCGACGGCGUCCCUGGGCUUGCCGGCAUCGACAUGGAUCUCUGGUACUUACUACUACCCUCUCCUCCGACGUCUAAUCAAAAAAAAUAUACAUACAAACAUCAGUUGCUUGAAUAUAGAGGUCGGCUAAUUAAGAAAGAAAAGAGAGAGAGAGCCUAACCUUUGAUGUUCAAGGGUUUGGUAAAGGUUUUCUUGAGGUGUUUGAGGCCGCGAUCAGGCUGAGGCCCGGCAACGACGUCGUCCCAGAGUUGAUCUAGCAAAACCAUUAUUUCUUUCCUUUCCCUUUUUCUCCACUGAUUGAUUGAUUGAUUCAGUGAAG
rnacentral:lncRNA from 1 species